rnacentral:rRNA from 1 species
AUUGAACGCUGGCGGCAUGCCUUACACAUGCAAGUCGAACGGUAACAGGCCGCAAGGUGCUGACGAGUGGCGAACGGGUGAGUAAUGCAUCGGAACGUGCCCAGUAGUGGGGGAUAGCCCGGCGAAAGCCGGAUUAAUACCGCAUACGACCUGAGGGUGAAAGGGGGGGAUCGCAAGACCUCUCGCUAUUGGAGCGGCCGAUGUCAGAUUAGCUAGUUGGUGGGGUAAAGGCCUACCAAGGCAACGAUCUGUAGUUGGUCUGAGAGGACGACCAGCCACACCGGGACUGAGACACGGCCGAGACUCCUACGGGAGGCAGCAGUGGGGAAUUUUGGACAAUGGGCGCAAGCCUGAUCCAGCAAUGUCGCGUGCAGGAAGAAGGCCUUCGGGUUGUAAACUGCUUUUGUCAGGGAAGAAAUCUUCUGGGUUAAUACCUCGGGAGGAUGACGGUACCUGAAGAAUAAGCACCGGCUAACUACGUGCCAGCCGCCGCAGUAACAC